rnacentral:rRNA from 1 species
AGAGUUUGAUCCUGGCUCAGAUUGAACGCUGGCGGCAGGCCUAACACACGCAAGUCGAGCGGAUGAGUGGAGCUUGCUCCAUGAUUCAGCGGCGGACGGGUGAGUAAUGCCUAGGAAUCUGCCUGGUAGUGGGGGACAACGUUUCGAAAGGAACGCUAAUACCGCAUACGUCCUACGGGAGAAAGCAGGGGACCUUCGGGCCUUGCGCUAUCAGAUGAGCCUAGGUCGGAUUAGCUAGUUGGUGAGGUAACGGCUCACCAAGGCGACGAUCCGUAACUGGUCUGAGAGGAUGAUCAGUCACACUGGAACUGAGACACGGUCCAGACUCCUACGGGAGGCAGCAGUGGGGAAUAUUGGACAAUGGGCGAAAGCCUGAUCCAGCCAUGCCGCGUGUGUGAAGAAGGUCUUCGGAUUGUAAAGCACUUUAAGUUGGGAGGAAGGGCAGUAAGUUAAUACCUUGCUGUUUUGACGUUACCGACAGAAUAAGCACCGGCUAACUUCGUGCCAGCAGCCGCGGUAAUACGAAGGGUGCAAGCGUUAAUCGGAAUUACUGGGCGUAAAGCGCGCGUAGGUGGUUCAGCAAGUUGGAUGUGAAAGCCCCGGGCUCAACCUGGGAACUGCAUCCAAAACUACUGAGCUAGAGUACGGUAGAGGGUGGUGGAAUUUCCUGUGUAGCGGUGAAAUGCGUAGAUAUAGGAAG